UGUAAUGCACUUUUCAUGACUCUGCCAUUCUUGCAGGCAAUUUCAUAUGCAUUUUCUGACUCCCCCAUCGGGGUUCAAAAUGCAAUACCCCAAAUGCAACACCUUGGAGAAUGGCCUGCUUUGAGCUGAGGGAGACCCGGAAGUCCACAGAAGCGAGAAGUCCUCUCCGGCCUUCACCCUCCUUCUCCCCACAAAAGGCAUAAUGGAAACUAGGGCUCUUCUCCCUGAAAGCAAAAGCCAUAAAACUGGGAGGGUAGCUCUCUGCCUCCCUGCUUCUCCCAGGAAAGGCCUCGAGUGUCCGUGUCCUGCCCAGCACCCAGGGGACGAUCCCAGCACAGACCCAAGAAGGAUUCUGCCAAGGGGCCUGGCCGGGCUCCCGGCUCACCAGCUCCAGGGCAUGCCUUUCUGUCCACUCUCAGAACUCCCUGGCUCCUGCUUCCUUCCUCAGGCUUAGCAGAAGAAUUCCAUUUCCCGGGGCCUUGGGUCCUCAUGUGUGGUAGAAGGCCUUGGCUAAACACGCGUGCCAUGCCCUCCUCUUGUCGGUGUGACUUUGGGUGCAGGAGUGUCCACCACGAGCCUUGCAACAGGAGCGAGUUUCAUCCCAGGCUGGGCCCAGUCCCCAGGACCAGCACCUGUCCGCGGAGGACCUCUAGUCCUCAGUCCUGAUGGCAGCUGCAAAUCAAGCUCUCACAUGGCUCCCAUUGAGAAGUUUCAUGAGAUAAUCCAAGCAGAGAGAUGACUACAGUGCCCGCCCAUAGUAGUUACUCAGUGGCUUCUAGGUCCUUCUCACGGAAACCGGACUGACACUCCUGAGGCUGCAGGGCAGGUAAGCCUUGGCCCAGAGGGAGGCAGAGAGCAGACAUAUGGUGCAGAACAGGCAUGGUG